GGAAUUUAAAAAAAAAAGAAAUGGUCGGGAGAUUGAGCAGCGUAGGAUCUCGGAUCAUGGGAGGCAACGGCGUGGUGGGGCGAUCCCUGGCCUCCUCCCUCCGCAACCGCUCCGGCAUGCCGAGAGGCCUUCCCGUCGCUCCCGGUUCACGACGAACUGGUUUGAGAUAAUGGAACCCCAUGCCCGGAGCCCUGCAUGAUCGCCUCGCCGCUACUAUCGGCAAGUAUGAGGCAUUGGGUUGGCUGGGCGGAGGGCUGGGCUUUUUCGCUACGCUUGGGUUGCUAGCUGUGUGGAAUGACAAAGCAUCAAAGGUUCCCUAUACACCAAAAGUCUAUCCAUAUGACAACCUGCGGGUGGAGCUUACUGGAGAGCCAUAGGAGCAGUCCAUGAAUGGUUCAGUUCAGUACCUGAUGCUGUGCUGAUACUGCCUGUUUGCAAGCGUUCGCUAUGACCGAAAGAGAAGAAAUAAUGGAUUGUGUGCAAUGCUUGGUUUGUUAUGCUCUGGUUCCUGAUUGUCUUCGUGAGAUGAACUUGUGCAUUUCUUUCUUCUGGUGAUGAAAUUUGUCCAAACGGUUGCAUUCAGUGCCCUACAACUUGGCCUGUAGCUAUGCUUUUCUUAUUUCUAUAAAACCUCUCAUACAUACCAGCAGCA